GUGCCCACUGAAGUUGCACAUAUUUUAGAAUUAGAAAAAUACGAAGAAGAUUAGCAUGGCCCCUAAACAAGGAUGACGUGCAAAUUCAUGAAAUGUUUCAUAUUAGA